rnacentral:rRNA from 1 species
UACGUAGGGGGCAAGCGUUGUCCGGAUUUAUUGGGCGUAAAGAGCGUGUAGGCGGCCAGACAGGUCCGUUGUGAAAACUCGAGGCUCAACCUCGAGAUGUCGAUGGAAACCGUCUGGCUAGAGUCCGGAAGAGGAGUGUGGAAUUCCUGGUGUAGCGGUGAAAUGCGCAGAUAUCAGGAAGAACACCUAUGGCGAAGGCAGCACUCUGGGACGGUACUGACGCUGAGACGCGAGAGCGUGGGGAGCGAACAGG